GGCACGGUGAUGACCUUCGGGUCUGAGUGCC
rnacentral:misc_RNA from 1 species